rnacentral:rRNA from 1 species
UACGUAGGUGGCAAGCGUUGUCCGGAUUUAUUGGGCGUAAAGAGCUCGUAGGCGGUUUGUCGCGUCUGCUGUGAAAACCUAAGGCUCAACCUUGGGCUUGCAGUGGGUACGGGCAGACUUGAGUUCGGUAGGGGAGACUGGAAUUCCUGGUGUAGCGGUGAAAUGCGCAGAUAUCAGGAGGAACACCGGUGGCGAAGGCGGGUCUCUGGGCCGAUACUGACGCUGAGGAGCGAAAGCGUGGGGAGCGAACAGG